UUGAACGCUGGCGGCAGGCCUAACACAUGCAAGUCGCGCGGAUGAAGGGAGCUUGCUCCUGGAUUCAGCGGCGGACGGGUGAGUAAUGCCUAGGAAUCUGCCUGGUAGUGGGGGAUAACGUCCGGAAACGGGCGCUAAUACCGCAUACGUCCUGAGGGAGAAAGUGGGGGAUCUUCGGACCUCACGCUAUCAGAUGAGCCUAGGUCGGAUUAGCUAGUUGGUGGGGUAAAGGCCUACCAAGGCGACGAUCCGUAACUGGUCUGAGAGGAUGAUCUGUCACACUGGAACUGAGACACGGUCCAGACUCCUACGGGAGGCAGCAGUGGGGAAUAUUGGACAAUGGGCGAAAGCCUGAUCCAGCCAUGCCGCGUGUGUGAAGAAGGUCUUCGGAUUGUAAAGCACUUUAAGUUGGGAGGAAGGGCAGUAAGUUAAUACCUUGCUGUUUUGACGUUACCAACAGAAUAAGCACCGGCUAACUUCGUG
rnacentral:rRNA from 1 species